rnacentral:siRNA from 1 species
AGCUUAUGGCAUUUGAUUCUGC